GACAGAGGGUGCAAGCGUUGUUCGGAAUUACUGGGCGUAAAGGGCGUGUAGGCGGUCAGGUAAGUCUAAUGUGAAAUCAUCUCGCUUAACGAGGUGCCCGCAUCGGAAACUGCUUGACUUGAGUAUAGGAGAGGAUAACGGAAUUCCUGGUGUAGCGGUGGAAUGUGUAGAUAUCAGGAGGAACACCUGUGGCGAAGGCGGUUAUCUGGCCUAAUACUGACGCUGAGGCGCGAAAGCUAGGGGAGCAAAC
rnacentral:rRNA from 1 species